UAGACAACAGGAGAGGGACGGAGUGGAUCACCGGUGUAACCGGAGAGUUUACCGGUGGGUCGGGCUGUUGUUUGUCUGGCUGCACGGCAGUGACGAGAGCCAUAAUGUUCCAAAGAAAGAAAAGGAUACGGCCUGCUUCGAGGGACAAGCCAUGGUUUAUGGAAAGAUUCAUUGACAGUAACAAAGGAAGAAGAGUGUUUGCUGCCCAGUCAAUCGAAUCAGGUGACUUUGAUUUGGAGUACAGGGGAGAGCUCAUAUCAGUGGAAGAAUGCCGAUCGAGACUCAGAGACAAAGAGUACAUUUCUGUUUCAAACGUCACUGGUGGGCAAAAAUAAAGCCAGGCAGGAUGGCACAAGAUGCACUUGAGCUCAUGCAAUUUCAUAAUGCAAGAAUUCAUUUCACAUGUGGAAGACCUUAGAGAAUAUGAAAUUAUUGUGCUUUGUUCUACCUCCUUUAGGGGUAAUUUGGGGUAAUGAUUUGAAGGGAACAUAUCAUGCUCAUUUUCAAGUUGAUAUUUGUAUUUUGGGUUUGUACUGGAAAAUGUUGCAUGGCUAGUUGAAUCACAUGAACUGACUUAUUUCAGUUGUCUCAUUCUUUUCCCUAACACAAAGUAGUGGAGAUGUUAGUUUUUCAGUUCAUGUUGUAUUCUUUGAGUUGCCCUGAUAAAGUUAUGUCUUGCAAUAUAACAAUUAAAAAAAGUAUAAUGGUAAAUGGACAAUUUAUACCAAGUAAAUCUCUUUUGAAUUGCAAUGUGGUGAGGUCAUGACCAGUUGCCUAGAGCAUGUUGUUUUUUAUUUUUAACAAGACAGAAAAUCUUUCCUUUUAUAUAUUGAACUGCGACUUUGUAUAAAUAAAUACAUGCUCAAUGAAAACAAAGCAAUGUUUCUUGUAAAAUAUUACUGAUGGCUUGAAAGAACAAUGUUAACCCAAAAUGGGAUUUAAAAACUCAUUGAUUAGAAAAAGUCUCAUGGGUUUGGAAGUGUUGAGCAGGAGGUAAUUUUAUGAAUGCAAUGUUACUGCCCUGUCUAACUAAUGAUGAUCUUUUGUUACAAUGAGAUCCAGUCCUGCAAUGUUUUAGAUAAGCCAGGAAAAACCAUGGAAACCAUUAUUGCCUCCAGUUAACAUGUGCCUUGCUUAGAUAUAAAAACUGGAAAUGUGUGUCCUGCUAAGAUAUAAAACCUUGAAA